UACGUAGGUGGCGAGCGUUGUCCGGAUUUAUUGGGUUUAAAGGGUGCGUAGGCGUCCCUGCAAGUUUUAGGUGAAAUGCCCAAGCUCAACUUGGGAGCUGCCUGAAAAACUGCCGGGAUUGAGUACAGAUGAGGUAGGCGGAAUUGACGGUGUAGCGGUGAAAUGCAUAGAUAUCGUCAAGAACACCGAUAGCGAAGGCAGCUUACUGGGCUGUAACUGACGCUGAUGCACGAAAGUGUGGGGAUCAAAC
rnacentral:rRNA from 1 species